AAGCAGUGGAAAGUUGCAUAAACACUCACAGGGUAAAACAUAUUUUGACUGAAUUGGGAACAUUUGUGUGGAACCCGGCUUGGGAGAUACUGGAUAAAUGUACAAAGGCGAAUCUGCUCAUUGCAAAACAAACAUCAAAGUGGCACCUGCCGAUUCCGAAGCAGUAGGCAGAAUUCAUCGAUACUGCUUUGGUGGAGGAGAAAAUCCUCCUGGAGAGGGAACAUGGUGAAAGGGGUCCUGAAGGCGGUAGAGUACAUCCUGUAGAUGUGAAACUGCGAGAGGUAGAACGAAAGGCAAAAUUGGCGCAACAGCAAUUAGUUUGAGCAGGACAUUCAGUUAAAAAAAAAAUGGAAUAAGAAGAACCUGCAGCCAGACAAGAACAGGAAUUUUAGGCUAGAGAUAUGUCAGCCUGCCGCAUCUGCAGUGGAAGGUGGCCGAGCUCCAGAGGUGUUUGUCAGACCAUGAGACGUCCUGAAAUCGAUUCUUCUCACAGAAAUGUGUCACGGGACUCGUCUGAAGGCAACCCAUACAAACAAAGAAGUAUGGAGGUAGUUGUGCCAACAAAAAUAAGGGGUUAAAUGUGUCCAAAAUAAAUAAAUGAUCCAUGUUAUCACCAUCUUAAAACAAUUAAACAUGUUAGCUUAGACCCCACCCCCAUCUAUUUUGGACAUAGUGUGUUCGGAAAGUAUUCAGACCCCUUGACUUUUUCCACAUUUUGUUACAUUACAGCCUUAUUCUAAAAUGGUUCAUUUUUUCCCCCCUCAUCAAUCUACACACAAUACCUGAUAAUGACAAUGCAAAAACUGUUUUUAUAAUUUUCUUUCAAAUGUAUCAACAAAAAUAAAGAUAUUUACAUAAAUAUUCAGACCUUUAACUCGGUACUUUGUUGGAGCACCUUUGGCAGCGAUUACAGCCUCGACUCUUCUUGGGGAUGACGCUACAAGCUUCACAUAGCUGGAGGGCAAACUACCUGCCCUCCAGGACACCUACACCACCCGAUGUCACAGGAAGGCCAUAAAGAUCAUCAAGGACAACAACCACCCGAGCCACUGCCUGUUCACCCCGCUAUCAUCCAGAAGGCGAGGUCAGUACAGGUGCAUCAAAGCUGGGACCGAGAGACUGAAAAACAGCUUCUAUCUCAAGGCCAUCAGACUGUUAAACAGCCACCACUAACAUUGAGUGGCUACUGCCAACACACUGACUCUACUCCAGCCACUUUAAUCAUGGGAAUUGAUGUAAAAUAUAUCACUAGCCACUUUAAACAAUGCCAGAAUCUCUAGUGGCACAGCUAGCACUGCGAUGCAGUGCCUUAGAC
ensembl:lncRNA